UACAGAGGUCUCAAGCGUUGUUCGGAUUCAUUGGGCGUAAAGGGUGCGUAGGUGGCGAGGUAAGUCAGGUGUGAAAUCUCGGGGCUCAACCCCGAAACUGCACUUGAUACUGCCUUGCUCGAGUACUGGAGAGGAGAUUGGAAUUUACGGUGUAGCAGUGAAAUGCGUAGAUAUCGGGAGGAACACCAGUGGCGAAGGCGACUACCUGGCCUGUUCUUGACGCUGAGGCGCGAAAGCUAGGGGAGCAAACGGG
rnacentral:rRNA from 1 species